rnacentral:rRNA from 1 species
GAUGAACGCUGGCGGCGUGCCUAAUACAUGCAAGUCGAGCGAACAGAUGAGGAGCUUGCUCCUCUGACGUUAGCGGCGGACGGGUGAGUAACACGUGGAUAACCUACCUAUAAGACUGGGAUAACUUCGGGAAACCGGAGCUAAUACCGGAUAAUAUAUUGAACCGCAUGGUUCAAUAGUGAAAGACGGUUUUGCUGUCACUUAUAGAUGGAUCCGCGCCGCAUUAGCUAGUUGGUAAGGUAACGGCUUACCAAGGCAACGAUGCGUAGCCGACCUGAGAGGGUGAUCGGCCACACUGGAACUGAGACACGGUCCAGACUCCUACGGGAGGCAGAAGUAGGGAAUCUUCCGAAAUGGGCGAAAGCCUGACGGAGCAACGCCGCGUGAGUGAUGAAGGUCUUCGGAUCGUAAAACUCUGUUAUUAGGGAAGAACAAAUGUGUAAGUAACUAUGCACGUCUUGACGGUACCUAAUCAGAAAGCCACGGCUAGCUACG